GAACUGCCUUGCAGACAAGUUCUUCGUGCUGUUUAAACCACUCUGCCUUCCAAUGGUCAGGACCACAGCAGAUUAUGCGUUACAUGGAACUAAAGUGAAAUUUUCCUCUAGAGGAAAAAUGCCAAGGGAAUUAGUGAACAAAAGCUCCUUCACAUUUUUGAGGAUUGAAGAGGAGUUGGGUGACCACAAUCAAGCCUGUAGAACCUCCCUGUUAACUCAACUCAUCCAGCCUCUCAAACUCUCAGCACCUCUCACUGUAUGGUGUGACAACCGAUUUCCAUGCUCAGCCCUUUAAAGUGACAAGCCACACUUCACACUGCAAACUGGUUUCACACUGUACCUCCACCACAGAUGAAUGAUCCCCACUGGCAGUGGAUUUGUGAGCCAGUCGAGCUGCAAACAGCUUCUUCAGCCGCAGGUAGUCAUCCAGAACCACUUUCAAAAGGGAGCCCUUGAGUCAGCACGAAGGGACUACAAACAAUGGCAGAUAAACUUACAUGGGUCCUGGCUGGACUAUUCCAGAGGUCAGUGAUGUCGCUGAGGUUCUCUGGCAGAUCAUCUUCAUGCUCAGCCUGAGCAGCAAGUUCCAAGUUUCUGCAGAAGGGAUCGAGCCAGACUGGAUUUGCCCUGAAACAAAACAUUGGCACUGUGAAGGGAACACUCCUUAAGACAACACAGAGU